rnacentral:rRNA from 1 species
UACGUAGGGGUCGAGCGUUGUCCCGGACUUACUGGGCGUAAAGCGUGGGUAGGUGGUCGGUGAUGUGCCGUGUGAAAGCGCCGCGCUUCUCGCGGCGAGGUCGCGGUAGACACACCGACUGGAGGCACGGAGGGGCGUAGAAUUCCCGGUGUAGUGGUGAAAUGCGUAGAUAUCGGGAGGAAUACCAGUGGCGCAAGCGGCGCCCUGGCCGUGAACCUGACACUGAGCCACGACGGCGUGGGAGCAAACGGG